GAUGAAGAACGUAGCGAAAUGCGAUAAGUAGUGUGAAUUGCAGAAUUCAGUGAAUCAUCGAAUCUUUGAACGCACAUUGCGCCCCUUGGUAUUCCAUGGGGCAUGCCUGUUCGAGCGUCAUUUGUACCUUCAAGCUUUGCUUGGUGUUGGGUGUUUGUCUCGCCUCUGCGUGUAGACUCGCCUUAAAACAAUUGGCAGCCGGCGUAUUGAUUUCGGAGCGCAGUACAUCUCGCGCUUUGCACUCAUAACGACGACGUCCAAAAGUACAUUUUUACACUCUUGACCUCGGAUCAGGUAGGGAUACCCGCUGAACUUAAGCAUAUCAAUAGCGGAGGA
rnacentral:misc_RNA from 1 species